GAAUAUUGUCUGGGGUGCCUCGUUGGCUGAGAAAUACCCAUUGAACCUGAUGCAGUUCGUACUGCCGGAGGAAGACAACAAACUAUUACC
rfam:Lactobacillus farraginis DSM 18382 = JCM 14108 DNA, contig: JCM14108.contig00030.